rnacentral:tRNA from 1 species
ACCGAUGAUAGUUUUACAAAGUUAGGGACUGUUUGGGACUGAAUUUUGACUGUUAAUCAAUUGGUCGUAGGUUCGAUCCCUACCGUCGGAGCCA